rnacentral:rRNA from 1 species
GAUGAACGCUGGCGGCGUGCCUAAUACAUGCAAGUCGAGCGAACGGACGAGAAGCUUGCUUCUCUGAUGUUAGCGGCGGACGGGUGAGUAACACGUGGAUAACCUACCUAUAAGACUGGGAUAACUUCGGGAAACCGGAGCUAAUACCGGAUAAUAUUUUGAACCGCAUGGUUCAAAAGUGAAAGACGGUCUUGCUGUCACUUAUAGAUGGAUCCGCGCUGCAUUAGCUAGUUGGUAAGGUAACGGCUUACCAAGGCAACGAUGCAUAGCCGACCUGAGAGGGUGAUCGGCCACACUGGAACUGAGACACGGUCCAGACUCCUACGGGAGGCAGCAGUAGGGAAUCUUCCGCAAUGGGCGAAAGCCUGACGGAGCAACGCCGCGUGAGUGAUGAAGGUCUUCGGAUCGUAAAACUCUGUUAUUAGGGAAGAACAUAUGUGUAAGUAACUGUGCACAUCUUGACGGUACCUAAUCAGAAAGCCACGGCUAACUACGUGCCAGCAGCCGCGGUAAUACGUAGGUGGCAAGCGUUAUCCGGAAUUAUUGGGCGUAAAGCGCGCGUAGGCGGUUUUUUAAGUCUGAUGUGAAAGCCCACGGCUCAACCGUGGAGGGUCAUUGGAAACUGGAAAACUUGAGUGCAGAAGAGGAAAGUGGAAUUCCAUGUGUAGCGGUGAAAUGCGCAGAGAUAUGGAGGAACACCAGUGGCGAAGGCGACUUUCUGGUCUGUAACUGACGCUGAUGUGCGAAAGCGUGGGGAUCAAACAGGAUUAGAUACCCUGGUAGUCCACGCCGUAAACGAUGAGUGCUAAGUGUUAGGGGGUUUCCGCCCCUUAGUGCUGCAGCUAACGCAUUAAGCACUCCGCGGGGGAGAGUACGACCGCAAGGUUGAAACUCAAAGGAAUUGACGGGGACCCGCGCAAGCGGUGGAGCAUGUGGUUUAAUUCGAAGCAACGCGAAGAACCUUACCAAAUCUUGACAUCCUUUGACAACUCUAGAGAUAGAGCCUUCCUCUUCGGGGGACAAAGUGACAGGUGGUGCAUGGUUGUCGUCAGCUCGUGUCGUGAGAUGUUGGGUUAAGUCCCGCAACGAGCGCAACCCUUAAGCUUAGUUGCCAUCAUUAAGUUGGGCACUCUAAGUUGACUGCCGGUGACAAACCGGAGGAAGGUGGGGAUGACGUCAAAUCAUCAUGCCCCUUAUGAUUUGGGCUACACACGUGCUACAAUGGACAAUACAAAGGGCAGCGAAACCGCGAGGUCAAGCAAAUCCCAUAAAGUUGUUCUCAGUUCGGAUCGUAGUCUGCAACUCGGCUACAUGAAGCUGGAAUCGCUAGUAAUCGUAGAUCAGCAUGCUACGGUGAAUACGUUCCCGGGUCU